rnacentral:lncRNA from 1 species
CAAAAAGAAAUAAAUAAGUCAGUUCUCCAUAUCAUUACAUGUAUACAUUUAUGUGUAAGGGAAGAGUACUAUAGUGUGUAUCCUGUGCCCAGAGGAGCAGUGGCACCCCCAGGCCAACUUCCUGACAGUGGUGUGGAAAGGGCUCAGUAUGAUGUUUGGCACCAUUACAGAUGAGCGUGUUGGAACUCCACAGGAGCACUAAUUUCUAACAUUGGUGAGUUAAAUACCCACAUUUCAUAGCAUCAUUAAGGCUGGAAAAGAACUCUAAGGUCAUCUAGUCCAACCACUAACCCAUCACACCAUGCCCACUAAGCAUGUGCCUCAGUGCCACAUCUGUGCUUUUCCUGCAUACCUCCAGGGAUGGUGACUCUACCACAAUUUAUUCCUUUCCUUCCUCCCGUGACUGAAUGGUACUGCUCUACUGAAUUUACUGUAGCAAACCUUUACCUUACUCGUUGCUACACAGUUUAUGUUAUGUCCUGGUACAGGAAGUUUGUUAACAUCCAGCUGCAUCUGGGCUCUUUGGAGAUAGCUUUGGGAUCUGCUUAUGCUGUGUUCAUAGAAAUAAAAAGAGAAAGCUAACCCAGGUCACACUUUUCAGUUUCUCCCCUUGUCUGAGCAGAUCUCAGCAGUGAAAAGUCUGUUCUGGUCAGGUGAGGUAGCUCUUACUUGCAAGGUGGGUCCAUAUGUGUGUUUUCACUAGCCUGCCUUCCUCCGACUGGCAAUUUUUGCUAUAGCUACUGACAUAAGGCCAAAGCCUUUUCUUUUUAGAAACGUAUUAAAGCAAAACCUGAUUUCAAUAAAUGUUGGAUAAAAUUACUACCUCUUAAUAUGUUUGCAUUUUCUUUUUGGGAACAGUGGAAUAUCUGUUUGGCUCUUCAGGUAGUUGUUGUCCAUGUAGCUGUAAAAAGAUAUUACACAUAUGUGUAGUGCCACGUGUACUAUGGCUGGCAUGGGGUCAAGACUGGAUCUUAAGGAAGUUGAAUUUUUACUCUUAAUCUUGUGUUUUCUCUUCAAUAAUGUAUCAUUAGCAAAUACUCCCGAGUAAAGUUUAUUAUUCUAGUUAAUCUAUUAGGUCUUGCAAGAUAAGCACAUAGAAGGACAUGCUGGUUGAAUGAAGGCAGGAAAGGUGUGAUCUUACACAAAACUGGUCUAAAUAGCUCGUUUGGUAACUUUCUGGUUCCUGUUCCUGGCUCUUCUUUCUCUGCUUCAUCUCUGCCAAGUAUGCUGUUGUUUAGGAAUAAUGUAAAGGAACAAUUAGUACAGAGUGUGGCUGUGGUGUGCUGGACAUUGGCAGCGGAAUAACAACCAGAUUGCAGUAUUCCACUUACUGCUUAAGGAUGUGUCCUUUCCAGAUUAUGCUCUAAGUUCAUUGGUGGCAUUUUUUUGUAUAUUUUGGUGACGUGUGUUUAGUUUUCAAAAACUCAUUCCAAGGUGGAUGUUGACAUUCUUUAAAUUUUCUGUCUGUCUAAGCAGAAUUAAAGGCAGCUUCUGUGUGAAUUUUUCCGUAUAGUAAGGAGGAGCUGUGUGUACUUUUUUUAUUGUGCUGCUGAAAAAUGUGAAAAUAACAUGUGGAAGUGGGGUUGACACAUAGUCAUUGUGUUUCACAGACAGGACCCUUUGAGAAUGGCUGGGACUUGUACAGAAGCUUUUCGCUUAGAGUUUUGUGAAUGUCACUUCUGGCCUGAUAGAAAGCAAGGACACAGAACUUGCUGUUACAAGUUGGAAGGUGAAAUUUGUGGCAGAAAGAAAUGGCUUAAGCUGGUCUUAUUCAGAUGAAUAACUCUGAAGGAAUACCCAUGGCAAGGUUGUCAUUGAGAGGGAAGAGAGGAGGAAGAUCUCUUACAAUAUUUCAGCAUAUAAAAUGAUAUAAAGCAUAUCCAGAGGAGGACCACAAAAAUGAUCCAAGGGGGGGAACACCUCCUCUACAAGGACAGGCUGAGAGCUGGGGCUGUUUAGCCUGGAGAAGAGAAGGCUUUGAGGUGACCUGAUAGCAGCCUUUUAUUAUCUAAAGGGGGCUGUAAGAAGGAAGGGCACAGACUCUUUAGUUGGGUCUGCUGUGGCAAAAUAAGGGGAAAUGGUUUCAAACUAAAAGAGGGGAGAUUUAGAUUGGGUACAAGGAAGACGUUUUUUACAAUUAGGGUGAUGAGGCACUGGAACAGGUUGCCCAGAGAGACGGUAAAAGCCCCAUCCUUGGAGAUGGUGUUAGGCUGGAGGGGGUUCUGAGCACCCUGAUGUAGCUGUAAGUGUCCGUGUUCAUUGUAAGGGAGUUGGACUUGAUAGCCUUUAAGGGUCCCUUCCAGCAGAAAAAUCUCAACGAUGUGCCAAGGACAUUAUUGAUGGCACUUUGUUCAGAGAUGUCUGCAAGGAUACAGUGUCAUGGUGUGGGAUGGUACAAGUCUGUUUAUAAUUAAGCCUCGUCUGCCUUUUCAAAAUAUAUAAUAUGUCUAUAUGAAGAAACUUCAAACAACCAGGGCAACAGAGCUUCUUUUGUAUGAAUGUGUGUUUUGGUUCCUUCUCAUUGCCAUCAGUCCUCAUGGCGUUGUCAUGUAAAUCAGCGCCUGAGUGGCCUUUCUCAUUUAUAUCACUUACAGCAAUUCAUUAGCUGUGUCUUAUCCAAAGGGCAUUUAUUUCUAGCUUUACAGUACUUUAAUGUGCUCCUUUCUGGAACUGACCCAUGACUCUGGGCCUGUCUCUCAGGUCCAGAUUGAAAAUGCAUUUUCCUGAUGAGUAUGGAUAUUGGGGAAUGUGAGUAUGAAUAUGAGGAAAUUCGCCCAGUUUAUCCAGUGACUUAAAACAACAACUUACAGGCAUGUCCUGUGACAUGAAGAAUAAGUUCUUGGGUGAAACACUGCAGUACAGGAGUGUAUGCGAACAACUUUAUGGAUGCUGUAAGAGUAGGUUUAGCCAUACUCUGUUUCUCAUGCUCGGAUGUGCAUUACAAUGAUUUAACAAGCACAGUAUAAUGCAUUACAACACAAGCAUCUCUCAAACAAGGGCUGCCAUGCUUCCACAUGCAGUCUCCCAUUUAAGAUGAUCACUCCAUCAUAAACAACUUCUCUUAAUUUAUUUUAUAUAUUUACCUGUCUCCUAUAACUUAAUGGAAUGCAUCAUCACUGCAUUAUUUAAAGCUCCCGUUUCUUUCUGUUAGUAGCCAAGCUAUCUAGUAAAAGGGAACUUUCACUAUUGAGUAGGUAAAUGAAAUACAUUUACAGGGGUCUUCUCACAGUUGUUAACUUGCUAGAUUUAGAGAACAGAUGAGUGCAGGAUUUCAGCAGGGAAAUGUAGGGAAGCAUGCCUGGAAAUUUAAGUCAGGGAUCUCCUAAAGUGGUGGGCAAGGAGGAUCUUCAGAAAUGCUGAUGCACAGAAUGGCUGUCAUAGAUUGCUGUCCCUGCGAUUUCCGUAGUCAAGGGAGAGAAAAUGGCUCUUGCAAAAGGGAGUUCACGGCCAAAGCCAAAGAGCAGCUGCUGGUUGGCAGAGCCUCUUUUCUUUGUCAGUGAUUGAUGAAGCUAAAGGGGACAAGCAUCACUAAAGCAGAUGUUGCUUUUCUGAGUACUUCCCACAGUCUCUCUGAGGGCAGCAUUCAAGUGAAAUAUGUAAGAAGCACUUAAGAUUUCUAAAAGACAGUGAGAGCUGUCUGCUCUCUCAGCAUUUGCUUGGAUCUCAGAGAAAGGAAUAAGCAGUGCAGUGGAGAUGUGCGUAUGUGUAGGAUCAAGUAGGAGAGAAAAAGCACCACAAUAAAAAGCCUGGCUACCUCAUCUGCCACAUACUGCUCCGUAUUGUUCUUGUAGUUUUAAAAGAGAGUGAACUCGGCUUAUUGAAAAACAAGUAUUUGCUUUAAGGGAUUUAAAAUUCCUUUUCCGUUUUAAAGACGAGCCAUGAGGGGCAGGUGUGUUUCAAGCAGGAUUGCAGAAGCGGCAUCUCCACAUGUCAUGUUUCUGAAAUAGUACCUUGGCUGAGGUGAGCUGUCAUCUUCUUAGGUGGACAUUUGCUGGGAGAAGUAGCAUCAUAGGGGAUGUAAUUGCAUGUAAGUCAACAGUGCAACUUGGUUAGGACCAGACGUGUGGCUGCCAGAGGAGAGAGCAUCCUGCUCCCUGGUGCCCCAGUAGAGGGGGCUAGGAGUGCCCCACUCUUGUUUAGGGCAAUCUGAGUACCUGCAUUGAUUUUACUCUAGGUGCAAAUUGAAGUGAUUUUGAAUACUUCUGUCUUCGCUGACGCCUUGCUGGUGACCAGAGUUUGUUUCUCUUCUUAACAAACUUGAACAAUGCUGCCCUCUUAGUUGCUGCACAAACUUUCAGUAGUAUGUCACAUUACCUGUGGUAGCUGGUUGCCUCUUCAGUAGAUGAAGAGCAUCUUCGUGGCCUCCUCAGCACGGCCAAAUAGUUUUCCAGUUUCCUGACUGAGACUGAGUCAUUUCAAACUCUUCUUUGUUCACAUUUCUCAUGCAGAUGGAGUCACUGACAGCAAGUGUAAUUGGGUAAUAUUUAUGUCUAAAUUGAUGUGAGGUAGAGUUUUGAAGGGCUGCCAAAACAACCCUAGUAAAGAAUUUCUUCAGAAUUUCUCUGGAUUUGAUAAGGAUGUAAUAUGUAUGUAGUCUGUUCUUUAGUGAUAACCCAGAUCUUGGGGAAAAAAAAAAAUCAUUUCUUAUUUUAGAUGUAUGUCUUUGUCUUCAGUUACAGAGCAUCUAGCACAGACUUGCAACUUCUGUAUUCCUGGCCUGGCUGGUAUAGUUUGUCAGAUGGCAGAUCAGAAUGCAAAUGACUUCUAUCCAACACUCUGCUUUUUCCCCAAAGAUGGGAACAGUUGCUCAGGCACUGAACCUUCCCCUCUCAAAGCCAACUUUCAAGCCCCUGGCCGUGGUCUGAUGGAGAUUUGGCAGAUGGAGGGGUUUUGUGAGCUGGGUAGAGGAGAAAAGGGCAAAAAGCAGAGCGUGGCCGGGUCUGCCUGGUCCCUACUGGAGGAACGGGAUGUGACCUGAGGGGAGUGGUGAAGAUGCUCACACUGGGAUGUGCUUCCUGUGCUGCUGAAAUUGUGAACAUCUGGACUUGAAAGGAAAAAAGAAAAAAGGGAGAAAAAAAAUUCCAAGGAGGAAUCUUGUUAAUGGCAAAAGGGUGAUUGUAAUGUUGUUAUACUGCUGAUAUCCCCCAUGUCUCUUGUUCUUUCAGCAUUCCUAAGGAUUUGAUUUCUUGCUUCAUACAGGAUGUCUGUGGCUUAUGGCCAUGUGCUGUUGAAAUUUAAGGUUUCUGUGAGCCAUCUCUUGCUGGCACAGUGGUGCUCUCACCAAGCAGUUGUUCUUUCUGGUGUCUGGCUUGUCCUUUCAGCACCAGCUCUCCUCACCAGCCUCUGCUAGCUAGAGGCAUCUUCAGAGAUGGGGAUGGUGUGUGGGGUGCCAUCUGGGGGGCCCUGAGCAUCACCUGGGCAAAAAAAGCCAGAGAUGGUCUUUGAUGGGGGGAAAUUGUGUUUCUUUGCAGUUGAGGCAGGUAUUGAGUGGAGGUGGUGCCUCUGGUGAUGAUUAGGAUAUGAGAGACCAGAUAACCGCUUCUUUAAUGGUUGCCUGCACACCUUUCAAAUAGUAUUGCAUAAUCUGUUCUCACCAGAAAUUCAAGUUCUGGAAAGCAGUAACUAGCUGCAUGACGGAACGCUUGGAACAAAGAAAUAACAUAGGCUGCAAGUCCUUACAUUAUGACGGUCUUAGAUGGUCCUCUUUCUAGAAGACACAAAUAAUAAGAUAAUAAAAGUCUGAUACUAUGGAAAAAUGUCUCCCUUCUCUUACCACAAUAUGUAUGUGUGGGGAAAAUAGAUACUUAGAGGAGUUUAUCCUUUUCGUCAUUUCCCAUCCAAGAAGAUACUAAUUUUCCUCAGCCUCCAAAGUAGUAGCAGUAUUUCAGGAUUUCAGAUUUCCUUUUACUUCCUUCCCAUGCCAUCCACUGUCAGAUUUACAACCUGAAGUUUCCUGUAUGAGUGAUUGGCUAUGGGGGCUUCUCAUCUCCUCCCAGAACAUAUGUCCUAAAUUUGCCAUCUCAGAAACACUGGUGUGACUGCUAAGUACUCUGAAACAAUAGAUGUGAAACAAACACUGUAAAUGGGAUAGCUGCUCAGGAGCUAUGUCCUGCAAUGUUAUCCAGCUGGAGCAAGCAAAUGUUUAGGGCAUGUUCCACAUUUUGGAGUUCUCUUGAAGAAGGAAAAUAGUUCUGGAAUAGUCCAUGUUACCAAAUGACUUUUGUUGUUUUCUUUGUCACAAAACACUUUAGCACCUCAAGCAAAACAGGGCUAGGAACAGGUGGCCUCUGUACUGUAUAAUGAUUCUUUAAUUUGAAUAAAGUUGUCAUCUGAGAAAAACAAACACGGGGAUUCUCCUUGCGCUCUAUCACAUUGUCAAUGCACGGCAUCCCCUCAAAGAUUAUUUACUGCACUUGGCAUCAGUUUCAAAACUGAUCAUAAGGAGAUAAUCCCUCAGGUUAAGCCUUUAGAUAGGGACAAACAGAAAUGUCUCCUUUGUGUUUAUGGGUUGUUCUGCAGGCAGAAAUGAGAGUAGGGACCAGCAGUGUCCUCAAGAGCCAUAAGCUCAGGCAUUUGACUGGUGCUGAAAGAUAUUCACUGAUGUUAAUCCUUCACUUCAUAUUUGAGUUUCCUGAGUUUCUAGCAACAAAUCUGUAAUGAGCUGGCAAUUUCAUCUGACUAUCAGAAACAGUAAUAAAAAUAAGGGUACAGUUUCUAGAAAGUCAUGGUGUAGUAGUGGUGACUGAUACUAUGUGCAAACAAGGUUUUUGUUGCAGUGGAAAGUCCUGCCUCCGGUCACAGGGCUGUCAGAAAUCUUUUGGGAAAAGAUGGCUGUGUCAAGUUCAAAAGGAAAAAAAUAUAUAUCAAGAGAAUUGAUUAGUUUAGUUUCCUUAUGGGGAUCAAUGUUCUUUUCUGUAAAAUAAAAUAUAUAUUUUCUGUAGUGCUGCUAAAGCAGGUGUCUGAAAUGCCAUUGCAACCAAUAUGCUAUUGCAGUGUAGAUAUUACUUGGCAGCUGAGCUUAUUCUCAUGUUACAGGAAUCAUACUAAUAAUUCCCAUUGACUGCUGUGACCUCUGCUGGAGGGAGCAGAGUCAAUUUGCUUGUAGCCAUUCCUCUCAGAGCCUGGCAAAAAUGUUCUGCUUUAAUUGCUUUAUUUGUUUGUUCCCUACAGCAAAUUUUUUUGCUUUCCAGGUGGAUGACAUGAUUUGCAUACCUUGACAUCUAUUUCCUGACAUAAAUCAAGUUUUUUUUAAAAAGUAAAAAUCUAAUGACAUUUUAAUCCUAAUAAGCUUUCAUUUUGAUUCUACGGAUGUGUGCUUUGUACACAGCAUUACCGCAUACAAAUGUCUGCCUUAAAUGUAUCUGUGGACUUAAACACUGUGCUUGUCCCCCUGCUUUACAUUACAUAAAGACUGCAUUUGUACAGUGUCUCACUUUAAAUGUCUGCAAGAUGUUUAUACCUUAGUCCAGAUUGAAUCCUGCUUUGUACACUGGAUCUGCGCUUGGAUCUCUGUAGUUUGAAGUCCAUUGCAAUUCUGUCUCUGUUGGAAACCACUGACAAUAAUUUCAGAAUACCAAAUCUUUGGCUUAAGACUCUCGGAAUUGCUGCUCGUUGAAUAUUUCUUGUUCUUAAACAUACAGGUAUACUGCAAAUAUAAGCUUACAGACUGACUGUGUACUCCAGCUUACUAGAUACUCUUAUUUACAAAGAGUCAAAUUAAGGUAAUAUAAUGCUCAACUAUUCUUGUUUUGGAAAACUUCAUAGUUGUUUAUUUUUUUAGCCUGAAGAAUUUUUUGCUGACUGUAAAGCAGGGCAGCAGUGCCUUCAGAGCAACAGCCCCUUUGCCAUGGCCUUAUGGAGCAGCAGCGUGUGUGCCUAUGCCUUGUUUUUUCCCGGCAGUGCACCAUAGACCUCUUGUGCCAAAAAAACCCAAACAUUUUGAGUUCUAACCCAAAAAGCGUGACUCCAAAUUACUUUGGAUUGAUACCUCUCUUCUGAAAAUCUGCUUGUAGUUGAGGAGGAGCUUCUGAG